UGCUUAACUGGGCAGAGAGAUCAGAGAUCUUCCUUCUAUCAUCACUGGUGCUUCUGGUCACAGUACCUUAAAUGGAUUCUAUUGAAUGGUCCCUUUUGGGGAUGCUGUUUCUUUAGCAAAGAGAAGGUGCCUCUGCAUCAGAAAGGCAAGAAAAGGAAACAGAGCAGAAGAAGCGAUAGACCUUUCUCCUGAAUAGUGUGAACAAGCAGAAUCUAUGCAGAAGAAGAGGAAGGAAGAUGAAGUUUUAGGGAAAAAAAACCCCAAGGACAAGCACAUAAUCUGCAGAGUCUGUGAAAAGAACUAGGCAGACAUUGGUGUAGGGGAACAUAGCAGUAUUUAUUGACUUCUGGGAAAGCAAAAAAGUUCAGGCUCUGAAACAGAUUGUUCUAAGAAAGGGAACAUAUUGAUUGUUGGAAAGUAGAUAACUGAUGCUGGAGGAAGGGAAUUUGCAUGUACAGCCACAGCAUGCAAAAAUAAAACGUGUGCUGGCAAAUGCAGACAUUUUGAAUAUGCAGAUGUGACUAUGCAUAUACAUGUACAAGUGUUUGGUAUGCCAUAAAUCUCUGAGUAAAUUUUGCAGGUCCAUUUUCUGUUGCUCCUAAUACAAAAUUAUCUUGAGAGGAGCUUGAUGGGGGAGCGAGCAGUGAGAGGGGAAGUCUAUGUGGCACUUUAAAACGAGGAACAUGCUGUAAUUACAUUAAAACCAAGCAUUACGGGGAGGAAAUGCAAAGUUAUGAUUACUAUUAAAAGAGACCCAAGCAUGUUAAUUUAUUAAUAUUAGCAGUUUAAAGCAUCUAAACCCCUAGGUACUGACAUAAAAUUCUGCUAUAAAAUUAUGAUUAAGGCAUUUUCCUGUUUGUGGCCUCAAAUUAGUUUAAUUUUAAAGAUGCUUUUUCCCGGCAUGAUGCCACUUCAGGAAGGAAAAGUCAUUCAGUCUGCAUUAAUAACUUCACAGGAGUGGCAUAAAGCAGAGGAUUUCAUUGGUAAAGUUAGUUUCUGAGUUUCCUAAUGGAUUACUUUGCUCAUGAUUUGAGAGCUGACCAUUUUUGGUGCUAUUUUUAUCUCUUAACCUUUCAUAUUUCAUUAUUUUAUCUAUGUUUGAGUAUAAAAUAUUGAAUGAAAUGUAUUUUAGUGGAGAUCCAGAAUGGAAGGCAGAACUGUUAGAACUGAGCUAUGUGACUAUUUUCACCCUUCAUUUAAUUAAAAAACCCAAAAUUUUAGUAGAAA